CCUUACAAAAUUGGAUUUAAAACAUUAUGCUUUUCUUAAUAAAUCUAGUUUAAAAAUAGAAUACACCUUUUCCCAACUAAAUAAAUCUCAAAUAAUUUAAUUUUCCAAAACCAAAUCUUUUAAAAUAACUUUUCAAAUAAAACCUCAGAUUUUUAUAAAAUUUCGGCAGCACUUCCCCUAAAACUCGGGGUUAGCCACCCUUUUUCGGGUCCCAACUGAACCAUUUUCAACCUCUUUUCAAUCGAGAAAUCAAGUACAUAUUCAUCAAACUCAGUCACAAACACAACUCAAACUCAUCAUUCAGUCAUUUCAAACAAUCAUAAAUUAUUUACAAAUACCCACUAGACUUCCAUGGCAUUCAUAGUUUAAAAACAGUUAAUUUCAGAACAAAAUUCCUACCUUCAUACGAAAUCAAAAUAACAGAAGCUUCGAAGAAGCUUUCUGAUCGAGCUGCUGAAGGAGUUACUUUUACUUUAUAUAAUUAAUUACCUUCUUUAAAAUUUUCGAAAACAAAUCUCAAUAACAACCUAUUAGCACAAGAAACAGAUCAACGCACAAACAAAUUGCAACAAGACAAACAGCACAAUCAUAGAGAAACAAGAUAAGCAAAUACAACCAAAUGCAAAUGUACAAACAAUAUGAUGCAUGCCUGUUCCUAGUGCAGGUCGUGAGCUCAUGCAUCGAUUGUCUACUCGCAACCCAACGUUACUCAGGGCGAACCCCGAAUAUGGUUUCUUUACUGUGUCAGUUAGACACCUUGGUAUCAUGGUUAACCGUGUCAGUUAGGCCUCUUCAUAAUAAUAUCUUAAUGUGCAUCACAGUAAGAAACAAUGCUAUCAGUUAGGCAAACAUUCCCGCAUUAGCAAUCUCAGGCUAUCAGUUAGGCGGGCCCUUUCACAUUAGCAGUUUGGUGCAAGGCCUAUUUACAUUUCAUUUUCAUGAAUCAUAAUCUAUUUCAAUUAUUUAUUUCACUCAUUUAUUUCACUCAUGACUUUUCAUUUUACCUCCACAUCACCAAUUACACACUCAUACCUCCUCAUCCCCAUAUUAUUAAACGUACCUCCGCAUCACUGCUUAACUAUACAUACCUCUGCAUCACCUUAUUUAUUAUUCACUUAUCAUUGCCUCAAGUUUCUAGACAGCCAAACUUCUUUAUCGUUUAAUAAAAAUUCCUUUCCUUAAUAAACUGAACUCAAAUUAUUACUUAAAAAAAACUCCCUUCUCAAAAGAUAGAAUUUAAAACAUUAUACUUUUCUUAAUAAAUCGAAUUUUAAAUAGAAUAAAUCUUUUCCCAACUAAAUAAAUCUCAAAUAAUUUAAUUUUCCAAAACCAAAUCUUUUAAAAUAACUUUUCAAAUAAAACCUCAGAUUUUUAUAAAAUUUCGGCAGCACUUCCCCUAAAACUCGGGGUUAGCCACCCUUUUUCGGGUCCCAACUGAACCAUUUUCAACCUCUUUUCAAUCGAGAAAUCAAGUACAUAUUCAUCAAACUCAGUCACAAACACAACUCAAACUCAUCAUUCAGUCAUUUCAAACAAUCAUAAAUUAUUUACAAAUACCCACUAGACUUCCAUGGCAUUCAUAGUUUAAAAACAGUUAAUUUCAAAACAA
rnacentral:lncRNA from 1 species